ensembl:lncRNA
GUGGGGUGAGUGGGGGCGAGGCGGGGCGUGCCAAGGCGUGGCAGGCGAGGCGGGGCAGGGCGGGUCGAGGCGUGGUGGGGUGAGUGGGUGCAAGGCGGGGCGUGGCAAGGCGUGGCAGGCGAGGCGGGGCAGGGCGGGUCGAGGGGAAGCGAGGCGGGGUGAGGCGAAGUGAUUCGGGGCGGGGUGAGACGGGAUGAGGUUGGGCGAGGCGGAAUGAGGCGGGGCGAGGGGAAGCGAGGCAGGACGAGGUGGGGCGAGAUGGGGCGAGAUGGGGCGAGGCAAGGCGUGGCAUGUGAGGCUGGGCGAGGUGGGGUGAGGCUAGGUGGGGUGGGGCGCUGCGGGGCAAGGCGAGGCAAGGCGGGGCGGGGUGAGACGAGGCGGGGCAAGGCUGGGCGAGGCGGGGUGGGGCUAUGCAUUGCAAGGUGGGAGAGGUGGGGUGAGGUGGGGCGAGGUGGGGUGAGGCAGGGCGAGGCGAGGCGUGGCAGGUGAGUUGGGGCCAGGCAGGGCGAGGCUAGGCAGGGUAGGGCGAGGCGGGGCGAGGCGGGGCAAGGCGGGGUGGGGUGAGGCAGGGUGGGGUUAGGCGGGGCUACGCUAGACGGGGCGAGGCGAGUUGUGGCAGGAUAAGCGGGAUGGGGCGAGGGGAAGCGAGGGGAAGCGAGGCGGGGCGAGGCGAGGCAGGCGAGGCGUAGCAGGUGAGGUGGGGCGGGCCGGCCGAGGGGAAGCGAGGCGGGGCGAGGCGAGGCGGGAAGAAGCGAAGCGAGGCAGGGUGGGGCGGAGCAGGGUGGGGCAAGGCUAGGCAUGGCGGGGUGAGGCGGGGCGAUGCGGGCGAGGCGAGGCGUGGCAGGCGAGGCGGGGCGAGGCAGGGUGAGGGGAAGCGAGGCGGGGUGAGGCGAGGGGAAGUGAAGUGGGGCAAGGCUAGGCGAGGUGAGGUGUGGCAGGCGAGGUGAGGCGAGGCAAGGUGGGUGAGGCAGGGCAAGGUUGGAUGUGGCAAGACGAGGCGAGGCGGGGCGAUGCGUGGCGAGGCGGGGCGAGGCGGGGGGAUGCAAGGCGGGGCUAGGCGGGGUGAGGCAAGGCGAGGCGGGGUGGGGCAAGAAGAGGCGAGGUGGGGCUAUGCGUUGCAGGGCAGGAGAGGCGGAACGUGGUGGGGCGAGGUGGGGCGAGGCGGGGCGAGGCGAGGCAUAGCAGGCAAGGGCGGAGCAAGGCGGGGCGGGGAGAGGCGUGGCAGGGUGAGGCAGGGCGAGGCAAGGCGAGGCAAGGCGAUGCAGUGCGGAGCAAAGCAGGGCAAGGCGAAGCGAGGCGGGGCAGGGCGAGACGAGGCGGGGCGAGGCGGGGCGAGGCGGGGUGGGGCUAUGUGUUGCGAGGUGGGAGAGGCGGGGCGAGGUGGAGCGAGGUGGGGUGAGGUGGGGUGAAACGAGGCGUAGCAGGUGAGGUGGGGCCAGGCAGGGUGAGGCUAGGUGGGAUGGGGCGAGGCGGGGCGG